UCCAAAGUUCAUCACAGUAAACUACGAUAGCACUACGAUGAAAUAAUGACAUCAUCCAUUUUGUCAUCACUUCUGACUGCAACUACUGCGACUAAUAAGAUGCAACAAGCAUAGUAUAAAAUGGCAAAAGACAAGAUAAUUCUGUUGGACGCUGAAAACAAAAUAAGCAAGAUGAAUUAAUAUUAAGCCAAGAAAAUGCUCAGAAAGCAAAAAUUUUAUACUUAUCUAUAUGUUAUGAAAUACAGCUUAGGUGAAAUAAACGUAAAAACAACAGUAAAUAGAGAACACUAACGUCUACACUAACCAAUCGAGAUAUGGAAUUUGUGCUUAUGCAAGUACAAAAACGUAUGCCACAAAAAACUACAGGAUCAUAAGUGACAAUAGAUGUUAUCGAAAUCGUAAAAAGAACAGAAGAAGGCAAUGAAGAUAUUACAAAUCCAUGUAGUCAAUCAAAUGAGAGUCAAAACAGCAAUGAGAAUGAUAGUUCAAAGUCAUAUUGGAAUCAUGUCGAAACAUUAUUAUUAAUUGAAAGCUACAAAGAAAUAGAAAAAAUUUUACAUCAGGAAA